rnacentral:rRNA from 1 species
UACGAGGGGGGCAAGCGUUGUUCGGAAUUAUUGGGCGUAAAGGGCGCGUAGGCGGCGCGAUAAGUUGGGCGUGAAAGGCCCGGGCUCAACCCGGGGACUGCGCUUGAUACUGUCGCGCUGUGAGUCCGGGAGAGGAUGGCGGAAUUCCCAGUGUAGAGGUGAAAUUCGUAGAUAUUGGGAAGAACACCGGUGGCGAAGGCGGCCAUCUGGACCGGCACUGACACUGAGGAGCGAAAGCCAGGGGAGCAAACGGG